CGCGUCGUAUUGCAGCUCAGGGAGGAACAAUUGCCGCGUCCGCCUCCACGUGCAGGCAGGAUAUCCGGGUGCGAUCAAUAGGUGUUCUAGAAUAACCGAGUCAAACUGUAUGCAAAUGCUUCCCACAAAAACCUAAUAUUCACAUCAACGAAUAUCCUCUGAAGAGAACGCUUAAGUGCAAUUAUACUACAUCAAGUAAAAAGAAAAUGAUAAGUGUGGCUUGUGGGUUUGUGAGUAGAGACGAAACAUUAGGGGUGCAGAAGCCAAGAGUAAGUACAGACAGGCGGAGUGAGGGAAGGACGCGAGGAGGAGGAGGAGAAGGAACGAGUGACGGACACCAGGGAGGUUUUUGCGUGAUAGCUCUUCGUCCAUCGCCUGUCUGGGAGGAGCAAGAAAUAAGGUGGUGAUGACUGAUGUUUAGGAUCUGUUCGCCUGUCUUCUGUCUGCGAGGAACUGGGAGAUAACGCAGUGCUGUCUGAUGGUGCGGGCGUUCAUGAAGUGUCGUGAGUCAUGGACAAGAGGACGGAAAAAGACAUGUUUCUCCUUGGAAAGGUUGAUCCUUCGCUGAUCUAAAGGCAAAAGUUUUUGCUUCCAUACACGGGGACUCUUAAGACUGCUGGGAUCGCUAUCGAGUGAAGAUUGUGCAGUUGAUCAGACAAAGGACGGGCGAUCUAUGGGACAAACGGACAAGACAAGGCUGGGCUGGUGCGGGGCGAGGCGAGGCGGGCCUGAAGGAGGACGCCGCUCUGCUGGUGUGGGAGACCUGCCAGAGGCCGCCACCUGCCUGCCGGGUGGCGCUGUCCUGUCCUCACAUUGUUAUCCAGCCUCCCUCCGAUUUCCGACUGGCCUACUGCCUUCCGAACCUCCCCCUCCCCUCCCCUGCCCUGCCUCCCUCCCCACUAGUGGUGCUUGGACGCCUCUCUCCACACACCAAUAGGAUGAGGGAAUUCAAAUAGGGAUAAUGAGAUCCUUGUGUAUUUGAUUUAAAUAGAUAUUUUGCUCAGAGUGUAUUGUAGCAAGUCUAAUGCUUUAUUUUCUUGUUUUAUUAAUCGGUUUUUCUAUAUUAUGUUCU